rnacentral:rRNA from 1 species
AUUGAACGCUGGCGGCAGGCCUAACACAUGCAAGUCGAACGAGUGGCGGACGGGUGAGUAAUGUCUGGGAAACUGCCUGAUGGAGGGGGAUCACUACUGGAAACGGUAGCUAAUACCGCAUACCAUCAGAUGUGCCAAGAUGUGAUUAGCUAGUUGGGGGGGUAACGGCUCACAAAGGCGCCGAUCCCUAGCUGGUCUGAGAGGAUGACGUUGCACACUCGAACUGAGACACUGACCAGACUCCUACGGGAGGCAGCAGUGGGGAAUAUUGCAAUAUGGGCGCAAUCCUGAUGCAGACAUGCCGCGUGUAUGAAGAAGGCCUUCGGGGUGUAAAGUACUUUCAGCGGGGAGGCGUUACCCGCAGAAGAAGCACCGGCUAACUCCGUGCCAGCGGCGGCGGUAAUUC